CAGCCGCCGCGGUAAUACGUAGGGUGCGAGCGUUAAUCGGAUUUACUGGGCGUAAAGCGUGCGCAGGCGGCCCGUUAAGACAGGUGUGAAAUCCCUGGGCUCAACCUAGGAAUUGCGCUUGUGACUGGCGGGCUCGAGUACGGUAGAGGGGGGUGGAAUUCCUGGUGUAGCAGUGAAAUGCGUAGAGAUCAGGAGGAACACCGAUGGCGAAGGCAGCCCCCUGGGCCUGUACUGACGCUCAUGCACGAAAGCGUGGGGAGCAAACAGGAUUAGAUACCCUGUUAGUCCACGCCCUAAACGAUGGGUACUAGCCGUUUGGUGCGCGAUAGCGCUGAGUGGCGAAGCUAACGCGUGAAGUACCCCGCCUGGGGAGUACGGCCGCAAGGUUGAAACUUAAAGGAAUUGGCGGG
rnacentral:rRNA from 1 species